CCAGACUCCUACGGGAGGCAGCAGUGGGGAAUAUUGCACAAUGGGGGGAAACCCUGAUGCAGCGACGCCGCGUGAGCGAAGAAGUACCUCGGUAUGUAAAGCUCUAUCAGCAGGGAAGAAGAUGACGGUACCUGACCAAGAAGCUCCGGCUAAAUACGUGCCAGCAGCCGCGGUAAUACGUAGGGGGCAAGCGUUAUCCGGAUUUACUGGGUGUAAAGGGAGCGUAGACGGCAGUGCAAGUCCGGAGUGAAAGCCCGGGGCUCAACCCUGGGACUGCUCUGGAAACUGUAAAGCUGGAGUGCGGGAGGGGCAGGCGGAAUUCCUGGUGUAGCGGUGAAAUGCGUAGAUAUCAGGAGGAACACCGGCGGCGAAGGCGGCCUGCUGGACCGUAACUGACGUUGAGGCUCGAAAGCGUGGGGAGCAAACAGGAUUAGAUACCCCAGUAAG
rnacentral:rRNA from 1 species